rnacentral:tRNA from 1 species
AGCUCUUUAGCUCAGAGGCAGAGCAAUCGGUCGAUAACCGAUAGGUCGACGUUUCGAAAUCGUCAAGAGCUACCA